rnacentral:rRNA from 1 species
UACGUAGGGGGCAAGCGUUGUCCGGAUUUAUUGGGCGUAAAGAGCGUGUAGGCGGUUUGGUAGGUCCGUUGUGAAAACUCGAGGCUCAACCUCGAGACGCCGAUGGAAACCAUCAGACUAGAGUCCGGAAGAGGAGAGUGGAAUUCCUGGUGUAGCGGUGAAAUGCGCAGAUGUCAGGAAGAACACCCGUGGCUAAGGCGGCUCUCUAGUACGGUACUGACGCUGAGACGCGAAAGCGUGGGGAGCGAACAGG